GACGAACGCUGGCGGCGUGCUUAACACAUGCAAGUCGAACGGAAAGGCCCCUUUGGGGGUACUCGAGUGGCGAACGGGUGGGUAACACGUGAGUAACCUGCCCUUGACUUCGGGAUAACUUCAGGAAACUGGGGCUAAUACCGGAUAGGAAUCCUUGCUGCAUGGUGGGGGUUGGAAAGCUUCGGCGGUUUUGGAUGGACUCGCGGCUUAUCAGCUUGUUGGUGGGGUAGUGGCUUACCAAGGCUUUGACGGGUAGCCGGACUGAGAGGGCGACCGGCCACAUUGGGACUGAGAGACGGCACAGACGCCUACGGGAGGCAGCAGUGGGGAAUAUUGCACAAUGGGCGGAAGCCUGAUGCAGCAACGCCGCGGGCGGGAUGACGGCCUUCGGGUUGUAAACCGCUUUCAGCAGGGGCGAAGCUUGUGGUGACGGUACCUGCAGAAGAAGCACCGGCUAACUACGUG
rnacentral:rRNA from 1 species